UCAGACGAUGCGUCAUGCAUAUCAAUAAGCGGAGGAAAAGAAACUAACAAGGAUUCCCUCAGUAACGGCGAGUGAAGCGGGAAGAGCUCAAAUUUGAAAUCUUGAAAGGUCACCUUUCACGAAUUGUAGUUUAAAGAAGUGUUUUCUGUUACGAUCGUAAUAUAGUUCUUUGGAAUAGGACAUCACAGAGGGUGAGAAUCCCGUCUAUGAUUGCGAUUUGUAGCUUUGUGAUACACUUUCAAAGAGUCGGGUUGUUUGGGAAUGCAGCCCAAAACGGGAGGUAAAUUUCUUCUAAGGCUAAAUAUUGGCGAGAGACCGAUAGCGAACAAGUACCGUGAGGGAAAGAUGAAAAGAACUUUGAAAAGAGAGUUAAAUAGUACGUGAAAUUGUCAAAAGGGAAGCGUUUAACACCAGUGUUGUUUUCUGAAAAUCAACCUCUGUUAGCUUUAUGCAUGUUUGUUUAGACCUAAUCAGCUAUCUUGCAUGUUCUAUUGUUUGCAGUGGUGCACUUUUCAGUUUACAGGUCAACAUCAGUUUUUUUUACCGUAAAAAAGUUAAAGAAAGGUAGCUCAUGGCUCCGGUCGUGAGUGUUAUAGUCUUUUUCCUAUGCGGUAGGAGAGACUGAGGUCUGCAGUGUAGGCUAUUUGGCUAGAUACUCAGGUGCUAUGUGAUACCAUUUCAUAAACAACUUGUUGACUAUGUUUUGUCUAUUGCAUACUCGCUUGCACUAUCAUACCUACGCUUAGGAUGUUGAAGACUCUACAGAGAUA
rnacentral:rRNA from 1 species